rnacentral:lncRNA from 1 species
AUAAGUAUCGACAGUCCUUCGAGGACCUAAAAAGAUAUCUUUUAUCUCUAUCAUUGCUUACAAAACCAAAGGUCAAAAAAACUUUGUAUCUCUACUUGACGAUAUUGAAGGAGGUAGUUAGUUCGGUACUUAUCCAGGAGGAUGAAAAUCAAAUUCAAUGAUCAAUCUACUACACUAGCAAAGUGCUUCACAAUACUGAAGUAAGAUAUUCA